CACGUAGGGUGCGAGCGUUGUCCGGAAUUACUGGGCGUAAAGGGCUCGUAGGUGGCCAACUAAGUCAGACGUGAAAUCCCUCAGCUUAACUGGGGAACUGCGUCUGAUACUGGAUGGCUUGAGUUUGGGAGAGGGAUGCGGAAUUCCAGGUGUAGCGGUGAAAUGCGUAGAUAUCUGGAGGAACACCGGUGGCGAAGGCGGCAUCCUGGACCAACACUGACACUGAGGAGCGAAAGCCAGGGGAGCAAACGGG
rnacentral:rRNA from 1 species